UCAAGGAGCCUUUGGGUAAGAGAAUGUGCGAUGUGGGAGCUUGUCUGAAGCAUCCCAGUGAUGCAAACUCUGUGUGGUGCUGAGGCUCCUGUGCCA
rnacentral:snoRNA from 1 species